GAAAUAAAAAAAAAUCCUGUCAAUAAAAAAGGACGAUACAGAGAAGAUUAGCAUGGCCCCUGCACAAGGAUGACAUGCAAAUUCGUGAAGCGUUCCAUAUUUUU